GGGAAAAGCUCACAGUGUGAAUCUGCAUGCCUCCCUUGGGAGCGUGCCGAAUUGUGGUCUGUAGAGAGUCUUUUGACAGCAGAAUCAAGACUAAGUCCCUUGGAACAGGGCAGCAUAGAGGGUGAGACUCCCGUUCAUGCUUGGUUUGCGUUGUCUUGAAAGGACUUCUCGAAGAGUCGAGUUGCUUGGGAUUGCAGCUCUAAGUGGGUGGUAAAUUCCAUCUAAGGCUAAAUAUCCGUGGGAGACCGAUAGCACACAAGUACCGUGAGGGAAAGAUGCAAAGAACUUUGAAAAGAGAGUUAAAGAGUACCUGAAAUUGCUGAAAGGUAAGCGAAGGCAACCAGUAUCAGAGCGGCGUCAUACUUUCUGCAGAGCUUGCUUGCAGGCGCUGUGGCGUCGGAUGAGCCAAGAAUGCCCGUCAGAGCAGAGUUGAGGUUCCAGUGCUGCUAUGGGUGGUUGUUGGUGAAAUGGUUCCCUUUGUCCCGUCUUGAAACACGGACCAAGGAGUCUAACAUGUGUGCGAGUACAUGGGUGCAAAACCCUGGUGCGGAAUGAAGGUGACAGUGGUCUACACGGCCUGCCGGCCAAGAUCCCUCGGGAGAAAGGUCUGAGUGUGAGCACUAUAUGUUAGGACCCGAAAGAUGGUGAACUAUGCCUGAAUAGGGUGAAGCCAGGGGAAACUCUGGUGGAGGCUCGUAGCGA
rnacentral:rRNA from 1 species